CGGGUGGCCUUGGAGCAGUCCACCCAGCCUACCUGCACGGUGGGAGUGUGGAUUGAUGCUGGAAGCCCGUGCAAGACUGAAAAAAACAAUGGUGCAGGCUACUUUUUGGAGCACCUGGCUUUCAAGGGAACAAAGAAUCGACCUGGGGGUGAUCUGGAGAAAGAGGUGGAGAGCAUGGGAGCCCAUCUUAAUGCCUACAGCACUAGGGAACACACAGAUUACUAUAUCAAGGCACUGUCCAUGGACUUGCCAAAAGCUGUGGAAAUUCUGGCAGACAUUGUGCAAAACUGUUAGCCUGGAAGACUCACAGAUUGAGAAGGAGUGUGAUGUGAUCCUACGUGAGCUGCAGGAGAAUGAUGCUUCCCUGCGGGAUGUGGUCUUUGACUAUCUGCAUGCCACAGCAUCCCAGGGCAACCCCCUGGCUCAUCCUGUGGAGGGGCCCAGUGAGAACGUCAGGAAGCUGUCACGUGCAGACUUGACCGACUACCUCAGGAGACAUCACAAGGCCCCACGAAUGGUGCUUGCAGCAGCUGGAGAAGUGGAACACCGUCAGCUCCUCGACCUCGCCCAGAAGCACUUCGGUAGCAUCUCUCAGACGUACCCAGAGGACGCUGUUCCCACCAUCCAGCCGUGCCGCUUCACCGGCAGCGAGAUCCUCCAUCACGAUGAUGCCCUUCCCCUGGCCCAUGUGGCCAUUGCAGUGGAGGGACCUGGCUGGGCAAACCCGGAUUACGUUGCCCUCCAAGUGGCCAAUGCCAUUAUUGGCCACUCUGACUGCACCUACUGUGGUGGCAAGAACCUGUCCAGCCCUCUGGCUGCUGUUGCUGUGGCCAAAAAGCUGUGCCAGAGUUUCCAGGCCUUCAACAUCUGCUAUGCGGAAACAGGGCUCCUGGGGGCACACUUUGUGACCACAUUAGCAUUAUCCCAGGCUACUUCCUGAGAUAG